UACGGAGGGUGCAAGCGUUAAUCGGAAUUACUGGGCGUAAAGGGCGCGUAGGCGGCCUGUUAAGUCGAACGUGAAAUCCCCGGGCUCAACCCGGGAACUGCGUCCGAUACUGGCAGGCUUGAAUUCGGGAGAGGGAUGUGGAAUUCCAGGUGUAGCGGUGAAAUGCGUAGAUAUCUGGAGGAACACCGGUGGCGAAGGCGGCAUCCUGGACCGAUAUUGACGCUGAUGCGCGAAAGCCAGGGGAGCAAACGGG
rnacentral:rRNA from 1 species